AGCUUCUUAUCUGACAAUUGUGAUUUGAAAAGAUGUAUUUUCCACUAGCACUCCUAGAUUCCCCUUAUUUCCUCAUCCACACACGGCAACUGAUGCCGACUGCCCACAGAAAGUCGAACAGGUGUGAAAAAGAGGCACUAGCAACCAGAUGCUCAAAGCCCGUCUAACAAACACGAAGCAUUCUGUCGGCUGAGCAAGACACCACUCCCCCUGAAGACCUUUGCAAAUGCACAGGAACCUGGGCGAGCCUGGCGCAAGGGGAGAGGAGCUGCCCAGCCGCCGGUGACGCAACAGGCUAGGCUGCCACUCGGGCCUCAAGAACGGCAUCUAACAACAAUCAUCUCCGUUUCUGAUUUUGCAUCGGCCAGCUUGUCAGCUUGUCGAAAAAUGGCUGCCAGGGCCCCACCCUGAGGACUCUGACUCCAGGAGGUGAGGACCCAGGAGAGUGCAUUUGCAGAAGCUCCCACCCCCUCCAGUGACUGGUGCACGGAGUUAGGAGCAGCCCUGGUACACGGGACUCAAACAGCUGGGAUCUGGAAUCCUUGUGAUCCCUGGGCUGUAGUGAGUGAGCUGUCCACGUCCUCCCCUUACCUGCAAGUAUCUUAAGCCAGAAGCAAGCAGAACCACAUGCAGCUAUCCAAACAGCCCUGCCAAAAGGCAUUAGGGGAUUCAUGUACCAGAAAGAACCCAAAACUCCAGAGAUUGAUCCUGGGACCAUAAUUUCCUGAAAUGUUCAAGGAAGAAUAAAGGAAGCCCUCAUCAUGGCCACACUGAGUCAGAGAUCCAUGAGAAAAUGAGGCCUAAAAAGUAAAAGGCUAAAUCCUUGAUCGCCCCCCAGGAGAAGUUGGAAAACCUCAGGAUGGUCUAGAGCCCCACAGGGUCAUGGAGAUGCUCAAGAGAACAUCACAGGGCUCUUUCCCUCUGGGUUCUUGGUUUAAAUGGCUUGUCAUAGACCCUGUAUCCUGCUGGAACCUGUGUUUGUAUGUCGUCUAGGAUGGCCCGGGCUGCAAAGGAAUCCAGGAUGAGCAGCUUCCAGAGCUCUCCACGAUGUUGUCUUCUUUGCUUGGUACCUGAGGGGAUGGCCAACUGCUGCUGCUUGCCUUCCCAGAUGUCUGGCUGGCUGGGCACCCUGGUUUCCAGGCACUUGAUGGAGACUGGAUAUCAAGUCCAGCCCUCUGUCACUGCUCUGCAGACAGGGAAACAGCCCCAGGAAGUGGAGUCUUUGUGUACAAAAAGCACUGGGACAAGUCUCUGGUCAGAGAAGGUGAUCUGGGAAGACCUUCUACACAGCAGCACGCGUUCACUCAGUAGCUGUUAUUGAGUGUCUUACUGCUUGGCAAGUACUGGCUGGGCUGUGCUGGGAGGGACUCUCAGAUGAGUAAGAAAUAAGUUUUUUCCUGGAAUAGCUAACUAGAUCUGAGGUGGAGGGGGCUGGCUAGAGAGAAGGAGCAAAGAAUUAAACAGAAUAUUCAUGGACCUGUGGGCAAGAGAGCACUCGGGUGGGGAGUCAGCAAGUGCAGGAGGCUCGUAUCCCCUGUGUUUCUGGGCAAGCGACUUUCUGUCUCUGAGCCUUGACAACCCUGUCUACAAAAUGGGUGUGAUCACUUCAGCUUGGCCUGAGCCACAGAGGAGGUGUCUGGAGAAUGACUACAAGAACUUUUACAUGUAAGAUGUGGUUGAAGAUAUUUUGACAAAUGAAUAAAUAUAUUGAUUUCGAACACA